rnacentral:rRNA from 1 species
GACGAACGCUGGCGGCGUGCUUAACACAUGCAAGUCGAACGGAAAGGCCCUGCUUGUGUGGGGUGCUCGAGUGGCGAACGGGUGAGUAACACGUGAGUAACCUGCCCUUGACUUUGGGAUAACUUCAGGAAACGGGGGCUAAUACCGGAUAGGAGCUCCUGCUGCAGGGUGGGGGUUGGAAAGUUUCGGCGGUUGGGGAUGGACUCGCGGCUGAUCAGCUGGUUGGUGGGGUAGGGGCUUACCAAGGCUUUGACGGGUAGCCGGCCUGAGAGGGUGACCGGCCACAUUGCGCCUGCGGUACGGCCCAGACUCCUACGUGGGGCAGCAGUGGGGAAUCUUGCCCAAUGGGCGGACGCCUGAUGCAGCGGCGCCGCGUGCGUGAUGCCGGCCUUCGGGUUGUGAACCGCUUUCGCCUGUGACGAAGCGUGAGUGACGGUAAUGGGUGAAGAAGCACCGGCUAACUACGUG